CAGUUCCCGUGAUGAAAGUGCUGAAGGUUGUAGUGUCGUCUGAAGGAUCUGUGGACCUGAAUGAUCCUCUAGUGCAAGAAGCUCUUUUGAACAAUAUGACGAAACGUAUGAAGGACAGCAGGAUCCCUCAGAAGUUCAGACUGAGAUGGAGGAAGCAACCAAAUGGCAAAGUCUUUAAUUAGAGCUUUAAUUACUGGAGCUUUAAUUACAGUUUGUCCUGUUGCUUCACAGCAUAAAUUGUCUAAUUUAAUUUCACCAUUUUGAAUAAAAACUGCUUAGUUUGCAUAUGUAUUAGCAGUGAACACUCAGAGGUGUGUUGUGCUUGGUGUUGAUGAAGACAUGGGAGAAGUAGGUGAUGGUCCAUUUUUAAAAGAUGAUGGCAAAUCACAGUCUAAAUGGUAUCACAGUAGAUUAGAGUUAUUGUGACAUGCUGUGGCCUAGGGACAGGAUUAAACCCUGCUGAGAGGUGCUUAGUCAUUAUAAUCAGCCUUUAAAAUCAAAGCUUCUUGUUUGUUUGUUUUUUUCAUAUAGUUGUUAAGUCUAAUGUGGCAUACACACAACCAGGAUUCAAUCACAGCAAACAGUGUAAGAGAUAAGAGGACUAAAGAAAGACUGUGAAUGAGUUGCAAAACUUUCUCUGUCAACAUCUGAGGAGUUUGUAUUUACUGUACUUGCUCCUGGAGAUGCUCAUGUGGAAACAGGCAUUUUCACCUUUGUAUCAAAACUAUGACUUUUGGAAUUUUGGAAUUCAGACAGAAUACUGUUUUGGACUCUUUUUGUGUCGAGGCCUUCCUUACAGAGGAUUUAUAAGCUGUACUUCCUGUCUUUACCAAUGGCUCCUAAUUUAAUAGUGUGGUAUAGAACAGUUAUGAGUCAUUAAUUUGAAGUUUUAAGUCACCAAAUGUUAAAUAAAGAUAUUUACAGCAAUGUAUCAGUCUGCAGUUGUAAACAUUAAAGGGCAGCAUAAACAAG